CUCUGCCUCCCAGAUUCAAGUGAUUCUCCUGCCUCAGCCUCCAAAAUAGCUGAAAUUACAGCCCACCCCUGGGUAUUACUCCUAAUGGAUCCAGAGAGAUACAUCACCCAGACACAGAAAAACAGACACAGCUGCCUAUGGAGGAAAUUCUGCAGAGUCACCAAGGUGGCCCCAGGACAGAGCAGCUGCCCAGCGCCUCACCCGCAUCCCCGGGCAGCGGCAGUCCUCGGAGCAGACAGGCAUUGUGAAGACCCUGUUUCUCUAGCUGUGCAGCUGCAAAAUCACUAGACAGGAUAAACUCAAGUCGUAAAACAUGUUUUUCCUUGAAAUGCAAGAAAUAAUGUAAUGUAUGACUCAAUUGAAUAACUCUUUGUUUCUCUCUUCUCUAACAUGCUUCCCCGUGCACAGAUCUCCCCCAGCCCCACAAAAUGCUUAAAAGCUAACUUGACUCUUUGUUCGGGGCUCAGUCUUUGUUUGGAUGUUAAUCUGACUGGGUCGGUGCACCUAAAUAAUAAAUAAUAAGUAUCCUCAA